GGUCGGUAUAUGUUUUGCAUCAAAAAUAUUUCCCGAUAUUUGCAUAAAAAAUAUUUCCAAAAAUUGUUUUUUUAAAUAUAUAAAUAAUAUAAAACAGAACAACUUUUCCUAAGACUAGUGAAAUUUAGGAGAUGUUUGUUUGUAAAGUAGUGGAUCAAUGUGAAUGAGUAAACAGAACAACUUUUCCCUAAGUGAAAUUUAGGAGAUGUUUGUUUAUCAAAUAGUGGAUCAAUGUGAAUGAGUGAAUCAUCUUGUUGUAUUUAUCGAGGACGAGAAAUGUACCAUUUUUAAGCAAAGGAAAUUGGAACUGUUCAAAUUUUUGUUUCAAAAAUCAAUCAGAAUUGGAGAAA